GAAAUAUGAAAAUUCAAAAAUAAGCUUCUAACUUAAUUUUUUAGCGAUGAGACUUCGUUAAUAUUUCU
rnacentral:tRNA from 1 species